UACGAAGGGGACUAGCGUUGUUCGGAAUCACUGGGCGUAAAGCGCACGUAGGCGGAUUUGUAAGUCAGGGGUGAAAUCCCGAGGCUCAACCUCGGAACUGCCUUUGAUACUGCGGAUCUCGAAUCCGAUAGAGGUGAGUGGAAUUCCUAGUGUAGAGGUGAAAUUCGUAGAUAUUAGGAAGAACACCGGUGGCGAAGGCGGCUCACUGGAUCGGUAUUGACGCUGAGGUGCGAAAGCGUGGGGAGCAAACAGG
rnacentral:rRNA from 1 species